rnacentral:lncRNA from 1 species
UUCAUUGUUAUUUAUUUAUUUGACUACCUGUUAGAGAAAGUAUAAAAUGAGUUCAAUAGCUCAUACUCAAUUUUUAUGGCCUCAAAUACUUAGAAUAAGUAACAGGUAUGAACAGUUAAUUGCCUUAGCUAAGAGAAACAUUAAUAACGUAGUGUUGAAGUGGUUGUGAAAUAAGGCAAACAUCUCAAGCUGGCAUGAGAAUAACCAGAGUAAACAUGGGCAGAAUGGUAUACAGUGAUGCAGAACCACACAGUGGCAUGGGACCCUGGCUCAGCCACUUAAUAGCUGUGAGAUUCCACAUUUGUAAAAGCCUUCCCAUAAAAAGCCUGCUCAGAGAAUGUUUAAAAUCCACUGGAAGCUUUUAGCAUGGUGCUUGCUGGUCAUACAGUAAGCCCUAAAUGAGUGACAGGUGUAAUUAGUCAUCUCAAUAAAAAGUCUCUUCUCAAGGACUCACCUACCAACAACAGAAACCAAAUCCCUCACACUAGGUGAAUAUGGGCCCAGAAUAGUGUUGUUAGAAAAAUCACAUAAAACUGUUUAAUUUUUUAAAGAAUUGCUCAGAGGCGUCUAAGUGGUUCAAUCAGUUGGGCAUCCAACUCUUGAUUUCAGCCCAGGUCGUGAUCUCGGGGUCUCCAUGUGUAGGGCUCCAUGCUCAGAGCAGAGUCUUCUUGAGAUUCUUUCUCUUGCUCUCCUUCUUACCCUCCCCCCUUCUCUCUAAAAUAAAUAAAUAAAUAUUUUAAAAGAAUUAAAAAAAUAAAGAAUUGAUUAAAACAUGCAAACGAAUUGGCAUUUAAUGAUAAUUUUUGCUUUUCUAUGCUAAAAGUAUGUGUGUACGCUAUUAUACAGCAUUAACCUUUAGUUCCUUUUACCUAGGGACUGUGUAUUUUUAUCUUGACAACUACAGUGUUAAACAUGGAGGUUUCACCUAUUUGGCUCUUAAUAAAGAACUACGGAGAUGACUGGCUAUUAUAUAUCUUCACUAAUUUUUAAGAUUCCCUUAUCUACCAUGACUUCAGAAAGCAGUAAAUAUUCACAAAACAUUCAACUUUUGGCUAGAUUUAUUUUGUAUCCCAAGUAAGAAAAAUCCUCAUUAUUUCAUAAUACAUUACCAGGAUUUCUUUAUAUAUUCUCAAUAUUAUUAUAUUCCCUGUGCUUUGUAUAUCUUCCUAUUUCUGAAAUCAUACACACAAAGUCCUAAAACAUCAGCAACAACAUCUGAUUACUGCAGGCCCAUUCAUCUCUUCCUGCUCUACUGAUUCACAGACCAUGAGUUCCACUUGAAGUAUAAAAAAAAAUUCUAGAUCCAUUCCUAUAUCUGUACUGGGCACUUCAUGGGUGAUCAAUAAAUGUUUGCUCACUAGUUGGUUUUCUAAGCAGUCAGGGGUAAAUUACUCAGAGAGCAAUUUCACAUUCCUCCCCUGUUUGCUGACCCCACCCUACUGCCAGGGAGUCAGUUGUUAAUAAUCACUGCUUUUUUUUAAUGUUUUAAAAUAAUUUUUAGAUGGACAAAAAUAAUUUCAAUAAUACCCUUUCCUUCCCUAAAUCACACUAAAACUCAGGGGAAUCCUAAUUAAUGGCUAGCAUCAUGGGACCUUAAUUAAUGUCAUACUAAUUGAUUUUUAGGUGAUACUUGAGCUGUAAAUAUGUAUUAUACUUAAAUAUCCUUUAGGAUUAUAAGGGCAGACCUUUAUAUUUUUAAUCCUCCCAACACUGUUUCUGAAAUAUGGUCUAAAAUGAGCAAAUGAGGCACUUUAAAGAGCAUUGUUUCUAUUCAUUGAAGUAUGAUACGUAAUAGUAAUUUGGAGAUAAUCAAAAUCUCAUUGAUAGAGAACUGGAGUACCUAUUCCAUGGAAUAUGCCAUGUAUCCCUGAAUAUGAAUGAUGCAAAUCCAUGUAUAUUCAUAUAUCAAGUUGUCCAUGAUAUAAUGGACAACCAAUAAGAAGAAAGUAUGAAUGGGGGUGCCUGGGUGGCUCAGUUGGUUAAGCAUUUGACUCUUGGUUUCAGAUGGAGGUCAGGGCUGUGAGAUCCAGCCCCACCUUGGGCUCCAUGUUGAGCAUGGGGUCUGAUUAAGAUUCUCUCUCUUCCUUGCCCCUUCCCCCUCUAGAAAAAUAAAAUCAAUGACAAUUAAAAUAAAAAAUACAUUUUAAAAUAGAAAUAAAUAAAAAUAUUUUAUUAAAAAAGAAAGUAUGAAUGUGGUAUGAAGUGGUCCCUGAGGACUA